rnacentral:rRNA from 1 species
GGGUUGUGAGGUUAAGCGACUAAGCGUACACGGUGGAUGCCCUGGCAGUCAGAGGCGAUGAAGGACGUGCUAAUCUGCGAUAAGCGUCGGUAAGGUGAUAUGAACCGUUAUAACCGGCGAUUUCCGAAUGGGGAAACCCAGUGUGAUUCGUCACACUAUCAUUAACUGAAUCCAUAGGUUAAUGAGGCGAACCGGGGGAACUGAAACAUCUAAGUACCCCGAGGAAAAGAAAUCAACCGAGAUUCCCCCAGUAGCGGCGAGCGAACGGGGAGCAGCCCAGAGCCUGAAUCAGUGUGUGUGUUAGUGGAAGCGUCUGGAAAGGCGUGCGAUACAGGGUGACAGCCCCGUACACAAAAAUGCACAUGCUGUGAGCUCGAAGAGUAGGGCGGGACACGUGGUAUCCUGUCUGAAUAUGGGGGGACCAUCCUCCAAGGCUAAAUACUCCUGACUGACCGAUAGUGAACCAGUACCGUGAGGGAAAGGCGAAAAGAACCCCGGCGAGGGGAGUGAAAAAGAACCUGAAACCGUGUACGUACAAGCAGUGGGAGCCUCUUUAUGGGGUGACUGCGUACCUUUUGUAUAAUGGGUCAGCGACUUAUAUUCUGUAGCAAGGUUAACCGAAUAGGGGAGCCGAAGGGAAACCGAGUCUUAACUGGGCGUUAAGUUGCAGGGUAUAGACCCGAAACCCGGUGAUCUAGCCAUGGGCAGGUUGAAGGUUGGGUAACACUAACUGGAGGACCGAACCGACUAAUGUUGAAAAAUUAGCGGAUGACCUGUGGCUGGGGGUGAAAGGCCAAUCAAACCGGGAGAUAGCUGGUUCUCCCCGAAAGCUAUUUAGGUAGCGCCUCGUGAAUUCAUCUCCGGGGGUAGAGCACUGUUUCGGCAAGGGGGUCAUCCCGACUUACCAACCCGAUGCAAACUGCGAAUACCGGAGAAUGUUAUCACGGGAGACACACGGCGGGUGCUAACGUCCGUCGUGAAGAGGGAAACAACCCAGACCGCCAGCUAAGGUCCCAAAGUCAUGGUUAAGUGGGAAACGAUGUGGGAAGGCCCAGACAGCCAGGAUGUUGGCUUAGAAGCAGCCAUCAUUUAAAGAAAGCGUAAUAGCUCACUGGUCGAGUCGGCCUGCGCGGAAGAUGUAACGGGGCUAAACCAUGCACCGAAGCUGCGGCAGCGACACUAUGUGUUGUUGGGUAGGGGAGCGUUCUGUAAGCCGUUGAAGGUGUGCUGUGAGGCAUGCUGGAGGUAUCAGAAGUGCGAAUGCUGACAUAAGUAACGAUAAAGCGGGUGAAAAGCCCGCUCGCCGGAAGACCAAGGGUUCCUGUCCAACGUUAAUCGGGGCAGGGUGAGUCGACCCCUAAGGCGAGGCCGAAAGGCGUAGUCGAUGGGAAACAGGUUAAUAUUCCUGUACUUGGUGUUACUGCGAAGGGGGGACGGAGAAGGCUAUGUUGGCCGGGCGACGGUUGUCCCGGUUUAAGCGUGUAGGCUGGUUUUCCAGGCAAAUCCGGAAAAUCAAGGCUGAGGCGUGAUGACGAGGCACUACGGUGCUGAAGCGACAAAUGCCCUGCUUCCAGGAAAAGCCUCUAAGCAUCAGGUAACAUCAAAUCGUACCCCAAACCGACACAGGUGGUCAGGUAGAGAAUACCAAGGCGCUUGAGAGAACUCGGGUGAAGGAACUAGGCAAAAUGGUGCCGUAACUUCGGGAGAAGGCACGCUGAUAUGUAGGUGAAGCGACUUGCUCGUGGAGCUGAAAUCAGUCGAAGAUACCAGCUGGCUGCAACUGUUUAUUAAAAACACAGCACUGUGCAAACACGAAAGUGGACGUAUACGGUGUGACGCCUGCCCGGUGCCGGAAGGUUAAUUGAUGGGGUCAGCGCAAGCGAAGCUCUUGAUCGAAGCCCCGGUAAACGGCGGCCGUAACUAUAACGGUCCUAAGGUAGCGAAAUUCCUUGUCGGGUAAGUUCCGACCUGCACGAAUGGCGUAAUGAUGGCCAGGCUGUCUCCACCCGAGACUCAGUGAAAUUGAACUCGCUGUGAAGAUGCAGUGUACCCGCGGCAAGACGGAAAGACCCCGUGAACCUUUACUAUAGCUUGACACUGAACAUUGAGCCUUGAUGUGUAGGAUAGGUGGGAGGCUUUGAAGUGUGGACGCCAGUCUGCAUGGAGCCGACCUUGAAAUACCACCCUUUAAUGUUUGAUGUUCUAACGUAGACCCGUAAUCCGGGUUGCGGACAGUGUCUGGUGGGUAGUUUGACUGGGGCGGUCUCCUCCUAAAGAGUAACGGAGGAGCACGAAGGUUGGCUAAUCCUGGUCGGACAUCAGGAGGUUAGUGCAAUGGCAUAAGCCAGCUUGACUGCGAGCGUGACGGCGCGAGCAGGUGCGAAAGCAGGUCAUAGUGAUCCGGUGGUUCUGAAUGGAAGGGCCAUCGCUCAACGGAUAAAAGGUACUCCGGGGAUAACAGGCUGAUACCGCCCAAGAGUUCAUAUCGACGGCGGUGUUUGGCACCUCGAUGUCGGCUCAUCACAUCCUGGGGCUGAAGUAGGUCCCAAGGGUAUGGCUGUUCGCCAUUUAAAGUGGUACGCGAGCUGGGUUUAGAACGUCGUGAGACAGUUCGGUCCCUAUCUGCCGUGGGCGCUGGAGAAUUGAGGGGGGCUGCUCCUAGUACGAGAGGACCGGAGUGGACGCAUCACUGGUGUUCGGGUUGUCAUGCCAAUGGCACUGCCCGGUAGCUAAAUGCGGAAGAGAUAAGUGCUGAAAGCAUCUAAGCACGAAACUUGCCCCGAGAUGAGUUCUCCCUGACUCCUUGAGAGUCCUGAAGGAACGUUGAAGACGACGACGUUGAUAGGCCGGGUGUGUAAGCGCAGCGAUGCGUUGAGCUAACCGGUACUAAUGAACCGUGAGGCUUAACCUUACAACGCCGAAG